rnacentral:rRNA from 1 species
UACAGAGGUCUCAAGCGUUGUUCGGAUUCAUUGGGCGUAAAGUGUGCGUAGGCGGCGCGGUAAGUCGGGUGUGAAAUCUCGGAGCUUAACUCCGAAACUGCAUUCGAUACUGCCGUGCUUGAGGACUGGAGAGGAGACUGGAAUUUACGGUGUAGCGGUGAAAUGCGUAGAUAUCGUAAGGAAGACCAGUGGCGAAGGCGGGUCUCUGGGCAAUUCCUGACGCUGAGGCGCGAAAGCGUGGGGAGCAAACGGG